AGUACCGUACCUGUGCAGCUGUU
rnacentral:piRNA from 1 species